GACGAACGCUGGCGGCGUGCUUAACACAUGCAAGUCGAACGGUGAAAGAAGAGCUUGCUCUUCUGGAUCAGUGGCGAACGGGUGAGUAACACGUGAGUAACCUGCCCCAGACUCUGGAAUAAGCGCUGGAAACGGCGUCUAAUACCGGAUACGAGACAGAGCUGCAUGGCUACUAUCUGGAAAGUUUUUCGGUCUGGGAUGGACUCGCGGCCUAUCAGCUUGUUGGUGAGGUAGCGGUUCACCAAGGCAACGACGGAUAGCCGGCCUGAGAGGGCGACCGGCCACAAUGCUACUGCGACACGGCCCAGACUCCUACCUGACGCAGCAGUCGAGAAUAUUACACAAUGGCCCCAAGCCUGAUACAACGACCCCCCGUUAGUGAUGACCUCCUUCUAGUUAUAAACCUCUUUCAACAUAAAAAAAGCGAAAGUGACGGUACCUGCAGAAGAAGCACCGGCUAACUACGUG
rnacentral:rRNA from 1 species